rnacentral:ncRNA from 1 species
UAUCUGCGUUGAUCCUGCCAGUAGUCAUAUGCCUUUCUCAAAGAUUAACCAUGGCAUGCUCUACCAGGUUAGCAAAACCUUAAUACGGUGGAAUUUGUGGAAACCAGCCGAAUGGCUCAUUUAAAUCAGCAUAUGGUUCCUUAGAUUCGUCUUCAUCCUACUCGGCAUAAACUGUGGGAAAAUCUCCUAGAGCUAAUACUGUGCCUCUACAAGCCCUGACCUCACGCGAGGUGGCGAUUAUUAGAUCAAAACCAAUCGGGGGCUUUGCCCCGUCUGCUUGGUGAACUCUUGGAUAACUUUUGUGCUGAUUCGCAUGGCCUCCUGCGCUGGCGACCGUAUCUUUCACAGUGUCUGCCCUAUCAACUUUACGAUUGGUAGGUAUUAUCGCCUACCAUGGUUAUAACGGAUGUAACGCGGAGAAUCAGGGUUCGCAUUCCGGGGGAGAGGGUAGCCUUGGAAGACGGCUACCACAUCUAAGGAAGGCAGCCAGCCGCGCGCAAAU